UACAGAGGUCUCAAGCGUUGUUCGGAUUCAUUGGGCGUAAAGGGUGCGUAGGCGGGUUUUUAAGUCAGGGGUGAAAUCCUGGAGCUCAACUCCAGAACUGCCUUUGAUACUGGGGGUCUUGAGUUCGGGAGAGGUGAGUGGAACUGCGAGUGUAGAGGUGAAAUUCGUAGAUAUUCGCAAGAACACCAGUGGCGAAGGCGGCUCACUGGCCCGAUACUGACGCUGAGGCACGAAAGCGUGGGGAGCAAACAGG
rnacentral:rRNA from 1 species